AUUGAACGCUGGCGGCAGGCCUAACACAUGCAAGUCGAGCGGAGCGGCGGACGGGUGAGUAAUGCCUAGGAAUCUGCCUGGUAGUGGGGGAUAACGUCCGGAAACGGGUGCUAAUACCGCAUACCAUCCGAUGAGCCUAGGUCGGAUUGGCUGGUUGGUGGGGUAAAGCACUACCACGGCGACGAUCCGUAACGGGUCUGAGAGGAUGAUCAGUCACACGGGAACUGGGACACGGUCCGACCUCCAAGGGGAGGCAGCGGAGGGAAAGAUUGGACACUGGGCGAAGGCCGAAUCAAGCAAUGCCGCGUGUAGGAGGAAGGCCUUCGGGUUGUAAGGUACUUUCAGCGGGGAGGCGUUACCCGCAGAAAAAGCACCGGCUAACUCCGUGCCAGCAGCCGCGGUAAUUC
rnacentral:rRNA from 1 species